UUACAGACUGUGAGUCACCUUGCCGAGCUGGGUCAUGUGUUUUUCCCCAGGGCUGGCCUCAGACUGUGAUCCUCUCACAGCUAGGUUACAGGUGUGAACCUCCGCUGCCUAGCUUGUUUGUUGAGAUGGGGGUCAUGCACACCUGAGCAGGCCUCAAAACAUUAUUCUCCUAAUCUUUGCCUCUUGUGAGGCUAGAUUAAAAGUAUA